GAUGAACGCUGGCGGCGUGCCUAACACAUGCAAGUCGAACGGAGUCCAGCCUUUAAGACCUUCGGGUCAAAGAGGGGAAGACUGAGUGGCGGACGGGUGAGUAACACGUGGGCAACCUGGCUCAUAGAGGGGGAUAACAGAGAGAAAUUUCUGCUAAUACCGCAUAAGCACACACUGCCGCAUGGCAGAGGGUGAAAAGAGAAUCGCUAUGAGAUGGACCCGCGUCUGAUUAGCCAGUUGGCAGGGUAAGAGCCUACCAAAGCGACGAUCAGUAGCCGAUCUGAGAGGAUGAACGGCCACAUUGGGGCUGAGACACGGCCCAAACUCCUACGGGAGGCAGCAGUGGGGGAUAUUGCACAAUGGGGGGAACCCUGAUGCAGCGACGCCGCGUGAGUGAAGAAGUAUUUCGGUAUGUAAAGCUCUAUCAGCAGGGAAGAUAAUGACAGUACCUGAAUAAGAAGCCCCGGCUAACUACGUG
rnacentral:rRNA from 1 species